CUGGCAACAGGGCUCUCUCUCUUGGAUGUCUCAGCCAUGACAGUUGGCAGAGACCUUCCACACAUUCUGCACUCUGAGAUGUGUCUAUGAGGCUGCUCAUGUUCCAAGUAAGAGAGACUUCUCACAUCGGAGCAGUGUCAUGGGAUGAUAUUUACUGUGAAUAGGAAGUCCCACGCCCCCCAGGUUAUAACUCCUCUACAGGAUGGCCGGGAGCUUGAAGAUGUUCUCAAUCACACACUCUGGCCUCUGCAGAACCUAAUGUUGGGGUGAGGACUCCAUCAGCACCUUGGGCCUGAUCCUUGGC
rnacentral:lncRNA from 1 species